rnacentral:tRNA from 1 species
UCCCUGGUGGUCUAGUAACUAAGGCUCCAUGCUACCAAUGCAGGGGGCCCAGGUUCAAUCCCUGGUCAGGGAA